rnacentral:rRNA from 1 species
ACUCUCGGCAACGGAUAUCUCGGCUCGCGAUCGAUGAAGAACGUAGCAAAAUGCGAUACUUGGUGUGAAUUGCAUAAUCCCGUGAACCAUCGAGUCUUUGAACGCAAGUUGCGCCCCAAGCCUUCUGGCCGAGGGCACGUCUGCCUGGGUGUCACAAAUCGUCGUCCCCCAUCCCUCGAGGAUAUGGGAUGGAAGCUGAUCUCCCGUGUGUUACCGCGACGCGGUUGGCCAAAACCGAAGCUAAGGACGCCAGGAGCGUCUUGACAUGCGGUGGUGAAUUUAAUUUCGCCAUAUAGUCGACGUCCGGUCCAAAAGCUCUUGAUGACCCAAAAGUCCUCAACGCGACCCCAGGUCAGGGCGGGAUCACCCGCUGAGUUUAAGCAUAUCAAUAAGCGGAGGAAAAGAAACUAACAAGGAUUCCCUUAGUAACGGGCGAAAUAACCGGGAAGAGCCCAGCUUGAAAAUCGGAUGUCUUCGGCGCUCAAUUGUAGUCUGGAGAAGCGCCCUCAGCGACGGACCGGGCCCAAGUUCCCUGGAAGGGGGCCAGAGAGGGUGAGAGCCCCCGUCGCGUUCGGACCCUGUCGCACCACGAGGCGCUGUUCACGAAGUCGGGUUGUUUGGGAAUGCAGCCCCAAUCGGGCGGUAAAUCCGGCCCAAAGGCUAAAUAUGGGCGAGAGACCGAUAGCGAACAAGUACCGCGAGGUAAAGAUGAAAAGGACUUUGAAAAGAGAGUCAAAGAGUGCUUGAAAUUGUCGGGAGGGAAGCGGAUGGGGGCGGCGAUGCGUCCUGGUCGGAUGCGGAACGGAGCAAUCCGGUCCGCCGAUCGAUUCGGGCGUGGACCGACGCGGAUUAAGGUGGUGACCUAAGCCCGGCUUUUUGUUACGCCCGCGAGAGACGCCGCUGCCUUAAUCGUGGUCUGCAGCACGCCUCACGGCGUGUUCUCGGCAUCUGCGCGUUCAGGGCGUCGGCCUGUGGGCUCCCCAUUCGACCCGCCUUGAAACACGGACCAAGGAGUCUGACAUGUGUGCGAAGUCAACGGGUGAGUAAACCCGUAAGGUUAAGGAAGCUGAUUGGCUGGAUCCCUCACGGUGCACAGCCGACCGACCUUGAUCUUCCGAGAAGGGUUCGAGUGUGAGCAUGCCUGUCGGGACCCCAAAGAUGGUGAACUAUGCCUGAGGGGGGGCCGAGGAAACUCUGGUGGAGGCCCGCAGCGAUACUGACGCGGCAAAUCGCUCGUCUGACUUGGGUAUAGGGCGAAAGACUAAUCGAACCAUCUAGUAGCUGGUUCCCUCCGAAGUUUCCCUCAGGAUAGCUGGAGCUCGGAAACGAGUUCUAUCGGGUAAAGCCAAUGAUUAGAGGCAUCGGGGACGCAAUGUCCUCGACCUAUUCUCAAACUUUAAAUAGGUAGGACGGGGUGGCUGCUUUGUUGAGCCAUCCCACGGAAUCGAGAGCUCCAAGUGGGCCAUUUUUGGUAAGCAGAACUGGCGAUGCGGGAUGAACCGGAAGCCAGGUUACGGUGCCCAACUGCGCGCUAACCUAGAACCCACAAAGGGUGUUGGUCGAUUAAGACAGCGGGGACGGUGGUCAUGGAAGUCGAAAUCCGCUAAGGAGUGUGUAACAACUCACCCGCCAAUCAACUAGCCCCGAAAAUGGAUGGCUGAAGCGCGACCUAUACCCUACCCGUCGGGGCAAGAGCCAGGCCUCGAUGAGUAGGAGGGAGGGCGGUCGCUGCAAAACCUAGGGCGUGUAGAAACCUUAAAAAAAAAAAAAAAAAAAAAAAAAAUAUUAUUAUUUAGUGGUUGUACCGCGGGCAAUGGAUGGUCGAAGAAUUGAUCAUGGGUGAACCAUAAGCUGCUGGACCAUGGUUAGAAAAGUGUUAGAUUGAUCAGGCGGCAGUUUUGGAAGAAUCACAUUUUGAAGCACGACGGUUUAGAAGCUUCGGCGUUUUGAAGAUUGGCGUUUCUUCAUCGCGAAGUUUUCUCAGAAUAUCUUCAUUAUCAGUAAAAUAUUAUUCUGAAGACAUUAUAAGUCGAAAAGCAGGACGGAAUUAAGCAGGGACGGGAAGCAAGCACGACGGGAUUGAAGCACGACGGGAAAACCCGAAGUUGGGCGAAAACCCUAAUUUUGGUAUUAUCGAUUUUUCGAGGAAGCCGGAGGCUCGAGAAAUAUUUUCCAUCAAGGUCAGGAUUCACUUGGGUUUAUUAAAAUAUUCAUCUCAUCAGAACGGGCGAGAAAAAUAUUCGGGAUUGAUCGCGGGACUAAAAAUUCAUCGGAAGGGUCGAAAUCAGUCGAAUGGACCGAGAAGUUCGAGCUGGCCUUAUCUAUGAGAUAAGGACGUGAUGUAACCUGCCUGGCAUGGUAUGUGGCAAGGGAAGCAGGAGGUGUUGAAGCCCAGGAGAGCACAGCAUGCUGAUUGACACCCGAAGCACGAGGUGCCGCGAAACCCGCGAUCGGAGACAUCUUUGAGCGACAUGUGUGCGCUGAGUGUCAAUCUGGAUGAGGUCAGGCCGUGGAUCAGACAUCUGGAGGGCAUGGUGUCACUCUGCAUGAUGUCCUGGUCAUGCCAUCAGACAUGUGGAGCACGAGGUGCCGCUGCGACGCGAUGCGUCCGAGAGCCAUCGCGAGGCGACACCACGGGCUGCCACACGGCUUGUUCUGAUUGGUUGCUUCAUCCUAUAUAAACCCCACGACCCCAGCUCAUUUUAAACCAUCCAGCACACCUGAAACUCAGAGAAAAACGUGAGAGAAAGCAAAGAAAAAGAAAGAUCGAAGUUUCGAUAGUUUUCGAAAGCGAUUUAGGCAGUUUUCGAGAACAUUUACUCUGCCGAUUUUGAGUCAGCACUUGGAGAAGAUUCUGUUCAAGAAGAGAGAUCAGUUCUAGUGGAGACCAGUUCAAGUGAAGAUCAGUCCAGACGUGGGUCUACUUGUGAAGGUCGGGAAGGGUUUGGAUCACAGAAGUCGGGUUUGGGGUCAAGGCCACGGUCAACCAAAAACUGUGAGUUAUAAUCAAUUGAUUGCUGAGUUGUUUUUAUGCAGGGUCCCGUUACUUGGAAGUUGGAUCAUGGCAGGAGGCCAGGUCUAACUGAGUAACGGUUUGAGUAGUUAAUAAUUGAGGUUAUGUUGUUUAAGUUGAUAGCAUGCUUAGUUAUUGCUUGAGAACCUUAGUAGCAUGCUAAUGGUUAGGUUGAUUGGUUAGUUAGCGAAUGCAGAAUGCUUAGAUGAUAUCGCUAAGUUGUGGAUAGUUAGGUAUUCUGGAAUUAGUCUUUAUGCUAGAUUCUGGAAUGUGGUUGAUUGUGUUGU